rnacentral:rRNA from 1 species
AUACGGAGGGUGCAAGCGUUGUUCGGAAUCACUGGGCGUAAAGGGCGCGCAGGCGGUUUGAUAAGUCAGAUGUGAAAGCCCACGGCUCAACCGUGGAAGUGCAUUUGAAACUGUCAGACUUGAGUACUAGAGGGGAAAGUGGAAUUCCCGGUGUAGAGGUGAAAUUCGUAGAUAUCGGGAGGAAUACCGGUGGCGAAGGCGACUUUCUGGCUAGAUACUGACGCUGAGGCGCGAAAGCGUGGGGAGCAAACAGGAUUAGAAACCCUAGUAGUCC